rnacentral:rRNA from 1 species
UACGUAGGGGGCAAGCGUUGUCCGGAAUUAUUGGGCGUAAAGAGCGUGUAGGCGGUCCGGUAAGUCAGCUGUGAAAGUCAAGGGCUCAACCCUUGAAUGCCGGUUGAUACUGUCGGGCUAGAGUCCGGAAGAGGCGAGUGGAAUUCCCGGUGUAGCGGUGAAAUGCGCAGAUAUCGGGAGGAACACCAAUGGCGAAGGCGGCUCGCUGGGCUUGGUCUGACGCUGCGGCGCGAAAGCGUGGGGAGCGAACAGG